AUUGAACGCUGGCGGCAGGCCUAACACAUGCAAGUCGAACGGUAACAGGAAGUUGCUUGUUUCUUCGCGGACGAGUGGCGGGCGGGUGAGUAAUGUCCGGGCAACUGCCUGAUGGAGGGGGAUAACUACUGGAAACGGUAGCUACUACCGCAUAACGUCGCAAGACCAAAGAGGGGGACCCUCGGGCCUCCUGCCAUCGGAGGUGCCCAGAUGGGAUUAGCUAGUAGGGGGGGUAACGGCUCACCCAGGCGAGGAUCCCUCCCUGGUCUGAGAGGAUGACCAGCCACACUGGAAAUGAGACACGGGCCAGACUCCUACGGGAGGCAGCAGUGGGGAAUAUUGGACAAUGGGCGGAAGCCUGAUGCAGCCAUGCCGCGUGUAUGAAGAAGGCCUUCGGGUUGUAAAGUACUUUUAGCGGGGAGGAAGGGAGUAAAGUUAAUACCUUGGCUCAUUGACGGUACCCGCAGAAGAAGCACCGGCUAACUCCGUG
rnacentral:rRNA from 1 species